AUGGGGUCUCCGCCACCCGGUUUACUUGAAAGUGUGGCUCUCAGCUCCACCCCGCCCAAAGCCUUUAGGCCCAAACAUGGCGGAGUAGCAGGGAUGGUUGCAGUAGGGUUUGCCUUCGUGCGAAGUACACCUCCUUGUCGCACUUGGGGCACUUGGGCAUGGCAGCUCCGGGUUCGGUGCGGGUGUUGGCGGCUGGGGCGGGAAGGGCUGCAGGCGCGAGACUCAGUGACUUUCUUUUUUAAUCUCCAUUUGCCAGAUGUGGUAAGUGAAACAUCUGCAGCUAUUCCUUUUUAUCAUGCCGUUCCCAGACAGCUCCAAGGGAGAGUUCUUAGAACAUUUCUUCUUGUUCUGCCUUCUACCCUCAGGGGAUACAGCUCUGGACUCUUUAAAACACAGGUAACCCAGCAACUUCUCUGAUGCUGGCAAGGCUCUUUCAUUCACUCAUUCAAGGGCCAACAGUAGUUGAGAGCGUCCUAUGUGCCAGGCACUAUGGAGAUGGAAUGGGGAGCAAAAACAGAUGAAAACCUGUUGACACUUCAUAUUAACCAUCACAGAUGCCUUGUGAAUAAACCCUUUCUCUGCUGCAAAACUCGAAGUCUCAGUGACUGGCACAUGGAAAAAUGAGCAGAAUAAGCCGUCUUUGCUAUCAAUAGUGAAGACACUUGUGAGGCAAUCCCAGUUCAGAGGCCUAGUUUUUCAACAUCUUUUCCCCAAUCUUUUCGAUUCUCCCAUCCACAUCUAAUUUGUGUGUGUGUGUGAUUUGACUUGCCUUUAUUAAAUCCUCUGAAAGCUUUUAGGUUAGUUUUCCAAAGAAAUUUUUUGCACAUAUAAAUUAAAUUUUGUAAGUCUAGUAACAAGUCCAACUGGCAUAAUCAGGUUUAGGAACAACGGAUUUUUAUAAAAAAAAAACACACACACACAAAAAGUUCAUAUCGACUAUGGAAGCAAAAGCAUGCCAGGUGCUAAUAGGCUGCGGGCAGUUCUCUUUUACAGAGGGCCUGGGAGUAAAGGUCAAUUAGGUGACUGUGCUAAGCAGAGGCUGAGUAAAAGGGCCUCUACCAAACAUUUGCCUUGA
rnacentral:lncRNA from 1 species